AGGAAAUGAACACAAAGAGUAUGCUGCCAUAUGGCUACACCAUGCGGUAGAGGGUUAAACAUCACUGAAAAUAUAAACAGUUU